AAGUUAUGCGAAAUGGACUACUGGCACGCGUCAUUCGGACACUGCGUGAAGAACAUUUAUCAAUUUGUUUUCGGAGGGUAAAAUAGUAAUUUUGGACACUGCACUUGUGGCUGCACGUGUCGAAUAGAGCGGGUUUCUCAACAAGCUGGGCCGGCCUUAUCUUCACCUCGAGAAGAUUCCUUUUUUCUUCUUUCUUAUUCUCUUUCUUCUUCUCUCUUUUUCUUCUUAUCUGUUCUUCUUCAACAAGCUGCGAUCAGUAGAUGUUGUUGAGGAUCAUACAGUAGUCUAGGAUGAUGGUGAUGAUGUUCGUAUUCGAUUCCGAGUAGAAGAAGGAAGUAAAUCAGUAAGAAUAGAAAUUAGGGUUUAUCUGAGAAGAUUUAGAAAGAGAAGCAGAUGCUAUUGAUAAAUGAUUAGGAGUGGGUUUAGUUGAUUUAGGAACUGGUGAAGUUAAUUAGAUGUUGGAGUUGUUCUAAAGUUGAAUCGAGUAUGAAUUAAAUAGUUAGGGUUUCUGCAUGUUGUGUUGGAAUUCGAAUUCAGUAAGAAUUAAGAAGAUAUAGACGGAGUUACAAGAUGGGUUUGUUGAUAUGAAGAAUUAGGUUGCUAUUUUGGAUUCGAAUUUGAGAAUUGGGGUUUGUUCUUGAGAUGAAGAAAUCUAGAAAAGGUUGAUGAACCGGUUGAGACUGGGAUGAGUUAUGGUGGUGAUGCUAACUCGAGUAUUGACUCAACUCAGAUGACGAAGCAAAGGUGAAAUAAGGGUUCCAGCAGAAUUGAUUGGAUGAUUUAGCAAUUCAAAGAAUAUGAAUUAUUGGGUAAGCCUCUAAUUGUCUCAGUUUUAGUAUUUUGAUUUGAGUGUAUAUAAUUAUUAAGAUUCUGUGGUUAUGUUGUUGAACUGAUAGAUGUGGAUUGCUAGAGUUGCAAUUAAUAUAAAUGGGGCUGUUAAUAUUAGUCUUCAUAGGUGCAGGACUAGAAGAGUUGUAGUUGUUGGGAGUUGUGUUAAGUUACCGGGAGGAGGAACUGUAUUUCAGAGAACUUUGGUGUUGGCAAUGAAGAACUGGAGAUGAUGUUUGGGUUAAAGGUGAACGAUGAAGUUAAGAUUUGAGGUGAAUAUGGAAUAGAAUGGAAAGGAUGGUUGUGUAAGUUUGGUAUGGCAGAAUUGUGGAAGUUCAGCGGAUAUGAAAUGGGUUUGCUGUAUUGGAUAUGAUAGAGAUGUUAUGUGUUUUGAAUCAAAGAAAUUGAGUUGGAAUUCAGGGUAAGUCUAGACAAGGGAUUGAAGUAUAAGUUUGAGUUGCAGUGGAGGUUAUAGAAUCGUUUGACAGUGCAGCUAGAGAAGUAAUCUGGUGUUGGUUGUUGAGACAGAGAUACUUGUGAUAGUGUUGUACAGAGAAUGGAACUGAAGUUGCAGGUUGAUGUAACAUCAGAAAUUGGUUUGUAGUUGGAGUAAACCUGCAGUCUUAGUGAUGCUGAUUGUGUGUUUGAGAGUUACAGGCAGAGAAGGUGUAGCUGAGAUGUAAUUGUCGAUGAAGUUGCAGGAUUGAAAUUGUAGGUGACUUGGUGUAACCGAAUUAGAGCAAAAAAUGUUAUAAACUGAAGUUGUUGAGUUAUGUUGUGUGAGUUGUGGAAUGAGAUGGAGAUGAACAUCUUUGAGAUGACUGCAGAAAGAUUGGAGCAGCUACUGCUUUUGCAGUAAGUCUAUUAACAACGAUCGAUUCAAAGGACGAACCAGUGGAUCGUGGAUCUCGAAGUCAGCGUGGUUUGUCAUCAAAAGAGUUUCAGAGACAGAUCAGAGUUGCGCAACGAAAGCUUCGAGGAGUUGAUUACGUUAUUUAGAUUACUUGCGCUGUGUUUAUUUUGUGUUUAUAUUUAUUUGUAAAUCAACUUGCUAUUGAAUAUGUAUCAUUUGAGAGAAGUUUUGUAUAUAUAUAUAUAUAUCAGAAUGGGGCUAG